rnacentral:rRNA from 1 species
GAUGAACGCUGGCGGCGUGCCUAAUACAUGCAAGUCGAGCGAACAGACGAGGAGCUUGCUCCUCUGACGUUAGCGGCGGACGGGUGAGUAACACGUGGAUAACCUACCUAUAAGACUGGGAUAACUUCGGGAAACCGGAGCUAAUACCGGAUAAUAUAUUGAACCGCAUGGUUCAAUAGUGAAAGACGGUUUUGCUGUCACUUAUAGAUGGAUCCGCGCCGCAUUAGCUAGUUGGUAAGGUAACGGCUUACCAAGGCAACGAUGCGUAGCCGACCUGAGAGGGUGAUCGGCCACACUGGAACUGAGACACGGUCCAGACUCCUACGGGAGGCAGCAGUAGAGAAUCUUCCGCAAUGGGCGAAAGCCUGACGGAGCAACGCCGCGUGAGUGAUGAAGGUCUUCGGAUCGUAAAACUCUGUUAUUAGGGAAGAACAAAUGUGUAAGUAACUAUGCACGUCUUGACGGCACCUAAUCAGAAAGCCACGGCUAACUACGUG